rnacentral:lncRNA from 1 species
AGCAACUUGCCCGAAGUCCCAAAUCUGCUCUCUGUCUUCAAGAACUGAACAAGGAUUCAAUAUGGAUUAGUGAUUAAGAGCUUGGGCUAUGGAUUCAGAACAACCUGGGUUCAAGUCCUGGAUCUGCUCCUUACAAGCUGUGUGAGUUGAAACAUCAAUUUAAAAAUUGAGUGUUCAGGGCGUACCUGGAACAUUGCCAGUCUACGUGGUGGAUGAAAAAGACAGAUGGCAAACCACGUGCUGGAAGACAUGUGUCAACUCUGUCUACACGUCACUAGCCAACACAAGUCCCAUAGCCACUCCUGAAUUCAACAGUGCAGGAGUGGAUAGUAUUCCUCCAGAGUGGGGUAUUGAAAGGAAGAAAAUUGUAAUGUUUUAUCAUAGUGUAUAAUUUGCCAGCUAUUUAUUCUGAGCCCUACCACUCUGUAAACUUUCUGGCACAACGUAGGCACUUUUGAAUGAGAAUCUUAUUAUACUGUCAACUGUUCUAGGGGCCCCUUCUGCUCCCAGUUUGCCAUAAAGAGGCGUCAGACCCCAAAAGCCCAAUUGUGCCUUAUUUAGUUCAACAUCUGGAGAGGCUCAGCUGUCCCACAUAUUUGUUCCUAAAUCACUGAGUUGCUCACUGAAUUGGCUGCCGACCCACCUUUUCCAGACAGGAGAAGAGGAAAAACUUAUUUGCGAAGAAAAAGAGAAGGCUCCUCUUGGCCAGGCCAAGGCCUCCUUUGGAGAUGGGCCAUAACAAACAGAGAUUUGUAAUGACUAGGAUACCCUAAACCGAUAGUAAAAUGGAAAUCCACAGGAUCAACCCAGCAGAGGGACUGGGUAGUCGGAAGGCUGUCAUCGGCCGGUGGUGUGACCUCAGACAAACUCCUUUGCAGCUCUGUGCCUCAAUUUCUUCCUCUGUAAAAGGGAGGUGGUGGUGGUGGGGACAGUGACUCUCUCAAAGAGCAGAGAUGAGAGUAAAAUAUCAUAUCCAUGACCAAGUCACAAACUAUAAACACUAUUCCACAACAGUUUAACAAAAUGGUUAAAUCUAACAAAAAUAGGACAGGAUAUGCAAUAUAUCUGACUUUAACAAUAAUUUGGUAGUAAAUAUGGAAGGAGUUGAGGGCCCAAAACACAGAACAUAUUCCCAUUUCUUGGAGAUCUUCAGCAGAUCACAAAAAAGAGAAAGUUAGAUUACUUGGGUGUUCAAUUUGCUGGCAACCAUUUUAUGCUAUAAUUCAGCAUUAGUCAUGGCUGACUAAUUUUUUUCUCUAGAAAAUUAGAUGGAGCAUGUAAACACAAAGGCACAGCACAGCCUCCUGGAAAAAACCCCAAAUGCACUGAGUCUUCGGGCAAGACUGAGGGAUCAAAGGCCAGGUGGGCUGCCUGCUCUGCUGCUUCGGUGCCAUUUGGUAUCAUUUCCGUAUUUCACUCAGUUGGUGUUGCUCAAUUUCCACUCCCUCCAUCAUCAAAAAGUAUUUUUAGAGCCUUUCAUUACAGGAAAUCUUUGGCGUUGUUCUCAGGGCUGCUCAUAUAGGGGAACAUGUUUUCCAUUGUCAGUAUAUCCGUAAAUAAAGACUAGCAAAUGCAUCUUUACAUCUUGGAGGGCACAUUUACUCUUGUCUGAUGCUGCAUGGCAUACUGAACCAUGGGAGAGGACCAGAGCAAAGAUGUGAUGAGCUUUCUCACUAGUGUAAACAUGGCUCAGGGGUUGACCAAAUAGGUGGCUUCCUACAAACAUUUCCCUCACCCCAUGAGACCGGGGUAUGUGCUCCUGCUUUGUGUUCUGUGUCCAUCACUGUCCUUGGCCCAUUGUGUACCCUAUGGACUUAAUCAUGUAAGUGUUUGCCCUGUACUAGCCACUGUUUUAAGUUCUUUCAGUGUGUUAACUCAUGAGACUGUUACAACAAUCCCUUUUUUUCGGAUGGGAAAACUGAGUCACAGAGAGGUUGAGUAGCUUCCGUAAGGCUGCACAGCUAGGGCUACUCUAAGAAUUAAGUGAGUUAAUGUCUGCAAAGUGCUUUAUGCAGCGCCCAACACACUGUAAGUGCUCUACAAGUGUUUGUUAAGUAGAUAUGCAGAGUGUAGGCAAAGCCAUACUACUAAGGGGCUAAACAUGGUUGCACCCAGUGGGGGUGAAAAGGCCUGGUUUCCAGCCUACCACUGUGACUCUGCCCUGAAGUGAGAUCUUGGCCAUGUUGUUUGGCCCCUCUAGGACCUGUGGUUCUCAUCUGUAGGAUGCAUCUGAUGAUUAGGUAGGCUUUCUCAGGUCAAAGCAUUACUGGUUGUGCAACACGUGAUAGGGAAUGCAAGCAUAGGGAAUAUCACUAGAUAAUUUACCAUGGACAUCCAAUUUUUGGAACAGCCUUGGGGAUGGGGGCCUGUUUGUGAAAUGGAAGAGUUUUUCCUACUGAAUUCAGAAAUUUAUCUGAUAAAAAGGAGCUCAUUUCAGAGACAUGUGUUUCUCUAGAACCUUGUAACCAGAGGCAGUGAUAAC